GACGACGGCUCCCACGGCAGAGAGAUCGAGGAGGUCCGCUGCGAUGAGCGCUAUGCGAUGGGCAUCGCAGCGC
rnacentral:rRNA from 1 species